rnacentral:tRNA from 1 species
CCUUCGAUAGCUCAGUUGGUAGAGCGGAGGACUGUAUAUCCUUAGGUCGCUGUUUCAAAUCCGGCUCGAAGGA